rnacentral:lncRNA from 1 species
GGCCAAGUUUUAAACUCAGGCAGUCUGGCUAUGAAGGUUCAUGUCUUCAAUCACUAUGCUGUUCUGCCCUCAUGCCUUCAUAAGGAUCAUAAAUGCUGCCCAUUCUAGUGAUCAUUAAUGUGUUUCACAAAAAUUAGUCCCGCUUGGAUCACAUCCUAUGUGGCAGCUACAGCCUUUACUGUGGUCUACAUCUCCAUUGCUAUGGUUUGAAUGAUGAUCUCCCCUCCAAAAUUCAUGUUGAAAUGUAAUCCCCAGUGCACAAAUAUUAAAAGGUGUGGUCUUUAGGAGGUGGCCUUUGGGAGCUUGGUCAUUCAUACAUGGGAUUAGCACCUUUAUAAAAGGACUUAGAUUGAAGAGAGGCUCUCUUGACUUUGCAACCCUUCCACCAUGUAAGGACACAGUGCUCUUCCCUUCUGGAGGAUCCAGAAACAAGGCGCCAUGUUGGAAGCAAAGACCAGACCCUUUCCAGACACCAAACCUGCUGGCACCUUAAUCAUGGAAUUUCUAGCCUCCAGAUGGUGAGAAAUAAGUUUCUGUUCUUCAUAAAUUACCCAGUCUUAGGUAUUUUUUUAUAGCAGCAUAAAUGGACUGAGACAUUCAUCUUUCAAAACAUUUCUUUAGUUUUAUUCUUAAAAUCUCCUUCCAAAUCAAUUUUCUUUUUUUCCCCCUCAGUGGCCAUUCUAGCCUUAAUAGUCUUGAAUGAGCCUGACUACCUUAAUUUCCCUUUAAGACUCACCUUGGCAUUAAGAUAAAUCAAUGUCUAUAUUAAACUGUAGCUCUAUUACUUUUCUGUUACCUUUUUAAACAUGUUUCCCUAGGCCAAAAACAUUUCUUCUCCUAUAAGGGCAUCUUGUUGGAGAACUCUAGAAAUCAGUCUCCACAAAACAUGGGAAAAUCCCAGAGGCCACAGAAGUGUCAAAUGGGAGAUUUUAUAUAUGAUAUGCUAGGCAACUUUGGUCAAACUGUGCAUUAGCAAGGAGCUAGCUGAGUGUAGUCCCUGAAUAUGAAUGCAGAUGCUGUAGAGCUGUGUCACAAAAGCACUUGUCUUCACAAAACACACAAAAAGUUUUAGCAAACAUGCAGUUACCUAGUGUGAUGGGCCGGGUGUGGUGGCCCACACCUGUAAUCCUAACACUUUGGGAGGCUAAGGCGGGCAGAUUGCUUGAGCCCAGGAGUUUGAGACCAGCCUGGAAAACAUGAUGAAACCCUGUCUCUACAAAAAAUGCAAAAAAAUAAUCCAAGUGUGGUGGUGCACACCUGUAGUCCCAGCAACUUGGGAGGCCAAGAUGGGAGGAUCACCUAAGUCCAGGAGGUUGAGGCUGCAGUAAACUGUGAUUGCACCACUGUACUCUAGCCUGGGCAACAGAGCAAAACCUCAUCUCAAAAAUAAAUAAAUAAAUAAUUGAAAUAAAGUGUGAAGGACACCCGUAGCUGAUCUGACCAAUCUUAUCUAUUUCUAUCCCUUCCAUAAGACAUAAAAAACGUAAUUUUUUUUGAGACAGGGUCUCCUUCUGUCACCCAAGCUGGACUACAGUGAUGGAAUCAUGGCUUACUGCAGCCUCAACCUCCAGGGCUCAAGUGAUCCUCCCAUCUGAUCCUCCCAUCUCAUCCUCCUGAGUAGCUAGGACUACAGGUGUGCACCACCACACUCAGCAAAUUUUUGUGUUUUUUGUAGAGAUGGGGUUUUGCCAUGUUGCCAAGUCUGAUCUCAAACUCCCGGGCUCAAGGGAUUUGCCCACCUCAGCCUCUCAAAGUGCUGGGAGUACAGGCAUGAGCCACUGCAUCCAGCCAUAAAAAAAACAUUUCUAACAACCAAGUGAAUUAAUAAAAUGUGCAGGUCCAGAUGGAAUGAUAGUUUCCUCCACCCUAUCCCAGAUGCUUGAAAAAUAUCUUGAGAAAUCUGGUGUAAUGUCACAGAAGCUUUGAAAACGGAUUCCUAGACUUAGGAACCACUGUCUUCUAAAGAUGAUUUUGUGACACUCCUUUUUGACUAUAAAUGGAAUCAUCUUGAAAAAAAGGUUAUGCUGCAUUUUUCUGAAACAACUAUCACAAUUUAGCAAUGCAACUAAAAACUUAUAUGACAUUUGACCAGUGUCCCAACCUAUGUCCUGGGACUUGUGGGUAUUUACUCCAGGAAACAAGAAAAAAUGCUAUAUCAUUAAGUAUCUUAAUUGCAAACAUAUGUCAUAGAAAAAAAAAUUAGAAGUUAUGCUCAACAUUGUGGUAUAGUUGUUCAAAUUAUUGAAUGUACUUAAGUGCAUUUUAUGCAAAUAUAAAGAUUUCAUAAAAGUAUGAAAUAAUGUUAAAGAUAUGGUAUAAAUAAAAUAUAUGCGA